rnacentral:rRNA from 1 species
AUGAACGCUGGCGGCGUGCUUAAGACAUGCAAGUCGAACGCAUGCUCGUCGCAAGACGGGCGUGAGUGGCGAAUGGGUGCGUAACACGUAGGUGACCUGCCCGGAAGUGGGGAAUAACAGUCCGAAAGGACUGCUAAUACCGCAUGCGGUGCGCGGGGUUUGAGACCCGUGCUCCAAAGGCUGGGGUAACUCAGCCGCUUUCGGAGGGGCCUGCGGCCCAUCAGCUGGUUGGUAGGGUAAUGGCCUACCAAGGCAACGACGGGUAGGGGACCUGAGAGGGUGACCCCCCACACUGGCACUGACACACGGGCCAGACUCCUACGGGAGGCAGCAGUCGGGAAUAUUGCCCAAUGGACGAAAGUCUGAGGCAGCAACGCCGCGUGCGCGAUGAAGGCCUUCGGGUCGUAAAGCGCUUUUCGGGAGGAUAAGAGCGGACAGUACUCCCGGAAUCAGGUACGGCUAACUACGUGCCAGCAGCCGCGGUAAAACGUAGGUACCGAGCGUUAUCCGGAUUUACUGGGCGUAAAGCGCGUUCAGGCGGUCGGGCAAGUCGGGCAUGAAAUCCUUCGGCUCAACCGGGGGAGGUUGUCCGAUACUGCCGGACUAGAGGGCAGUAGAGGGUGGUGGAAUUCCGGGUGUAGUGGUGAAAUGCGUAGAGAUCCGGAGGAACACCAGUGGCGAAAGCGGCCACCUGGGACUGCACCUGACGCUGCAACGCGAAAGCUAGGGGAGCGAACGGGAUUAGAAACCCCGGUAGUCCUAGCUAUAAACGAUGUGGACUAGGUGUCGGCGGUCUAAACCCCGCCGGUGCCGCAGCUAACGCACUAAGUCCACCGCCUGGGGACUACGGCCGCAAGGUUAAAACUCAAAGGAAUUGACGGGGACCCGCACAAGCAGCGGAGCGUGUGGUUUAAUUCGAGGCUACGCGCAGAACCUUAUCCCGGGCUUGACAUGCACGGAGUACGUGAAGCGGAAAGCGUCACGGAGGCCCUCAGGGUAGCAACGUGCACGGGUGCUGCAUGGCUGUCGUCAGCUCGUGUCCGUGAGGAUGUUGGUUAAGUCCCCGUAACGAGCGAAACCCCUGCCCCUUGUUGCCAGCACAUCAUGGUGGGCACUCUAGGGGGACCGCCGGUGUUAAACCGGAGGAAGGCGGGGACGACGUCAAGUCCUCAUGGCCCUUAUGCCCGGGGCUGCACACGUGCUACAAUGGGCCGGACAAAGCGCCGCCAACGCGCAAGCGGGAGCUAAUCGCAAAAACCGGUCCCCAGUUCGGAUUGCGGGCUGCAACCCGCCCGCAUGAAGCCGGAAUCGCUAGUAAUCGCCGAUCAGCACUGCGGCGGUGAAUGGGUUCCUGAGCCUUGUACACACCGCCCGUCAAGCCACCAAAGCGGGGGGCACCCGAAGUCGCCUGUGCCGCAAGGCAAGCGCCGAAGGUGAAACCCGUGAUGGGGACUAAGUCG